CAGGCCUUGACAUGCAGAGAACUUUCCAGAGAUGGAUUGGUGCCUUCGGGAACUCUGACACAGGUGCUGCAUGGCUGUCGUCAGCUCGUGUCGUGAGAUGUUGGGUUAAGUCCCGUAACGAGCGCAACCCUUGUCCUUAGUUACCAGCACGUUAAGGUGGGCACUCUAAGGAGACUGCCGGUGACAAACCGGAGGAAGGUGGGGAUGACGUCAAGUCAUCAUGGCCCCUACGGCCUGGGCUACACACGUGCUACAAUGGUCGGUACAAAGGGUUGCCAAGCCGCGAGGUGGAGCUAAUCCCAUAAAACCGAUCGUAGUCCGGAUCGCAGUCUGCAACUCGACUGCGUGAAGUCGGAAUCGCUAGUAAUCGUGAAUCAGAAUGUCACGGUGAAUA
rnacentral:rRNA from 1 species